rnacentral:rRNA from 1 species
AUUGAACGCUGGCGGCAGGCCUAACACAUGCAAGUCGAGCGGAUGAAGGGAGCUUGCUCCUGGAUUCAGCGGCGGACGGGUGAGUAAUGCCUAGGAAUCUGCCUGGUAGUGGGGGAUAACGUCCGGAAACGGGCGCUAAUACCGCAUACGUCCUGAGGGAGAAAGUGGGGGAUCUUCGGACCUCACGCUAUCAGAUGAGCCUAGGUCGGAUUAGCUAGUUGGUGGGGUAAAGGCCUACCAAGGCGACGAUCCGUAACUGGUCUGAGAGGAUGAUCAGUCACACUGGAACAGAGGCACGGUCCAGACUCCUACGGGAGGCAGCAGUGGGGAAUAUUGGACGAUGGGCGAAAGCCUGAUCCAGCCAUGCCGCGUGUGUGAAGAAGUUCUUCGGAUUGUAAAGCACUUUAAGUUGGGAGGAAGGGCAGUAAGUUAAUACCUUGCUGUUUUGACGUUACCAACAGAAUAAGCACCGGCUAACUUCGUG